rnacentral:rRNA from 1 species
GACGAACGCUGGCGGCGUGCUUAACACAUGCAAGUCGAACGGAAAGGCCCUGCUUUUGUGGGGUGCUCGAGUGGCGAACGGGUGAGUAACACGUGAGUAACCUGCCCUUGACUUUGGGAUAACUUCAGGAAACUGGGGCUAAUACCGGAUAGGAGCUCCUGCUCCACGGGGGGGGUUGGAAAGUUUCGGCGGUUGGGGAUGGACUCGCGGCUUAUCAGCUUGUUGGUGGGGUAGUGGCUUACCAAGCCUUUGACGGGUAGCCGGCCUGAGAGGGUGACCGGCCACAUUGGGACUGAGAUACGGCCCAGACUCCUACGGGAGGCAGCAGUGGGGAAUAUUGCACAAUGGGCGGAAGCCUGAUGCAGCAACGCCGCGUGCGGGAUGACGGCCUUCGGGUUGUAAACCGCUUUCGCCUGUGACGAAGCGUGAGUGACGGUAAUGGGUAAAGAAGCACCGGCUAACUACGUG